CUAAGACAUCUCAUUUAAAUAUAACUAAAAGAAUUUUACGAUAUAUUAAAGGAAUAAUUAAGUAUGGAAUGUUCUAUCCAUUAUCUAAAAAGUUAGAGCUUAUUGGAUAUAGUGACAGUGAUUGGGCCGAAGCUAUGAUAAUCGGAAGAGUACAACUGGAUUUGUAUUUUAUUUUGAUGAAGCUACAUUCACUUGGUCUUCAAAAAAGCAAUGAAUCGUUGCUCUAUCAAGUUGUAAAGCAGAAUAUAUAGCAGCUUUUUCUAGUGUUUGUCAUGCAAUCUGGCUAAGAGGAUUACUCCAAGAACUUCAUAUGCUACAGGAGAAGUCAACUAUUGCCUUAGCCAAGUCAGCUAUUGCCUUAGCCAAGAAUCUAGUCUAUCAUGAAAUAUCGAAGCAUAUCGAUAUAAGAUUUCAUAAGAGAUUAUAUCAAAAAUAAAGAAGUGGAGCUACAUAAUGUCAAGACAAGUGAACAAGUGGCUGAUAUACUUACAAAACAUCUCAAAUUUAAAAUAUUUCAACAACUUCGAAAGAAAUUUGACAUGUUAAAUGAAACAAGUUUAAGAGAGGAGAAUGUUGGAAGUAAACUUGUUCAAGUAUCAUAAAGAGGUUCAUUUCAUCAAAAGAAAGGUUCAUUGUAUCUAGAGGAAGAUUCAUUACAUCAAGAAAAAAAAAUGAAUUAAAAGUCUAUAGAAUGAUAAGUCAAAUAGGUUAUUGGUUCUUGAAAGGGUUUCUUGAAAUAGAAUGAUUUAUCUUGAAUAUAAUUAAUGUAAUAUAUCUUUGGGAACUAUAUAAACCCUAUAUGUUGGGUCAUGAGAGAAAGAGAGUUUCUGAAAUUGUAAAGUGUUUUUUUUUAGAGAAAUAUAGAAGAUUAAAACUUGUCUUACCCUUUUUUUUUUUUCUUUUUUUUUUCUGGUUUGAUAACUCCAUCCUUUUUCCUAUCAACAUCAACACCUGUCAUCAUGGUAGACUCUCUGCAAGAGGCUCAUACAUGCAGACCGAUAAAGAAGGUGAAAUGUACAUACAGCAUCAACCCAAUCCACAUGGAAGGAAAGGAAAGGCUAUGCAUGAUGAGCAAACCAAAGACUUGUUUGGAAUCUGUCGCAGAAUGGUUCUAUCAAUUCUUUGCUCUCAUUUACAGUAACGAUCGAUCUUGAUAUAACUAGAAAAGUCAAUGUUCGAUUACAGCAAGAACAUCCAUAACGUGGUUGAGGUGAGCAAGGCGGACUACGAUGCAUGCACCGCUACGUCUCCGAUGGCCACAUACACCUCCGGCAAUGACUCCAUCGCCAUGAAGACCAAAGGCCACCGCUACUUCAUCUGUGGCAUCCCGGGCCACUGCACCGCCGGCCAGAGGGUGGACAUCCAAGUCUCCAAGCCAUCAUCAUCUGCUGCCCCUUCCACCUCCACCUCCGCCCCUGCUUACCCUCCUUCCCGUGUCGGCAGCAGCAGCGGAGGCAUCUCCACGCCGGCAGCUGCCCCUCGGUCUAGCAGUGGCCCAAGGUGUGUUGCCAAGGUGUUUCGUUAUCGGUCUUGCUGUGUUUUCCUUUGCUGCAGCGUCUGUCUGGUGGCCUUGUUAGGCAGUAGUUGUAGUAGCGGUGGGUGCCAUGUGAGGAACAAUCAAGAAAGAAAUGUUCAUCUUAACGGGGCUGA